rnacentral:misc_RNA from 1 species
UUCCACUAGCUGUCUGCUGCAAUCAAGAAGGUUUUGUCUCCAUUAGGUAAGAUGCAAAAACUGUUCAACCUUGAAUUAAGAAUUGAGAGCAAUUACCUUGUCCUGUUGCCAGAGGAUUUGAUGAGGUCUAUCAGUUUUGGAUAUGCAAGUUCAUUCUCAGUCUUGUAUCAAAAAAGAAGCAUUACAGAUUCCAAGCUUCAAUGAGAUUUGAAUAGAUUGCAAUGAAGUUCAUUGCUGCCUAGUAAUCGUCUUCAGUAAAACAAUUUCUGGAUGGAAGACUGAACAAAUACAAUUAUCAAUGUUACCAGUGUGAGUUAAGCUUUCAUUACUUUAGCCUUGAGCAUAUGCCAUUGCCAUGACAGGGAUUCACAAGCUUCUAUCUGCUACAAGGCAUGUGUUGAUGGUGAUUGGAAACAAGGUAUUAAUAAGGGGCUUACAGUGCAAAUUUCUUCAAAUCCAAUUGAGAACUAACUCGUAAAAAACCUUGGGCAUGUGAAUUUGCAUUAUUAGCUGUAGCUUAUCAUCAUUAAUGUUAUAGCUGUUAAUCUUCAAUUCAGAGAGCCAUCACAAGGUGUAGGUUUUACAUAAUUGUAGCAUAGGGUAUUGUUGGCCAUGCCUAGCAACAAUGAUCUGUGAACUUUCUAAGAUAACUCGGGACAAUGUAUAGUUCUUGUAAGAAAAUCCCCAGUUGAAUUUAACUUGGAUGCCAUAUUGAAGUCACUAUUAAUAA